AUGUUGUUUGAUAAAAAAAGUAUUUUGAUUUAUAUUUCGCUGUGUCUAGGGAAGAAAGCUGAAUCAAAAAGAUUGAGAAGGUAGAUAGGUAUUUUAGACACUGGCAGUGAGCACACGGCUGUGCGGCUGUAGUUGACUAAUAAUUAUAUGUUUUAUGACUAUGUUAUUAUACCUAUAUACAUUUAUUAUGGAUUAAAGAGUUAAUUGUAUUUAUACAAUUAUUUUAAUAAAUUAUUGAUUUUUUCUUUCGUGUUCAUAGUUCAUAAAUACUUAAUUUCAUUCAGAUCAAACUAAUUUCAUAUUAUUCAUUGACACUCAUGACUAUUUUCUUUACUUGCCCUUCAAUACUACAAAUUACCUUUUUUUUUACUACCCUUCAUGUAGUGUAAUGAAAAAUGGCUUCAUAUUAUGAUGCAGUUUUUCGUAGAAAAAUUACAGAAUCUACAAGCACAGAUGAACGGAAUAGAUCUAGUGAAAAUAAGAGAGGACGGUGGGAUCAACCAGAUGCCCAAAAAAUUAAUUCUGAUGAUCAAUGGGAACGAAUAGUUGAACGAGCUAGAAAUCUAAGAAAUGAUACACAGUUCAAUGAUAUACACGGGGAUAAACCAGCAUCUCUAAUAGACUUGCCUAUUGAUGCAAAUAUUUCUUCUAAUAAACAACCCGUACCUGUUAGAACUUCUCCUCUGUGGAAUGAAAUAAUGCCCCAAUUUAAUCCAUUUAAUUUAAUUAAUCCAAUGACCGUGAUGGAUUCUGCAAUGUUCAUGGGACAAUAUGGUGUAAUGGGUGGAAUGCUAACACCCUCUUCAAUGAUUGUUAAUCAUACGACACCAAGAGGACCAGAUUCCAAUGUCAUUCAGACAGACAAAAGAAUUAUACAACUAGAACUGUGCACGUUGUACCCACCUCCUUCAAAUGCUCCUACGCCAACUUCUAGAGAGAGGCCACCAGGCUGUCGAACCGUAUUUGUUGGAGGUUUACCAGACAGCAUUACUGAAGAUAUAAUGAAAUCAAUUUUUACCAACUAUGGAGAAAUAUUGACAAUUCGUUUAAGUAAUAGAAAAUUUUGUCACAUACGUUUUGAGAAUGAGUGCUCCGUUGAUCUUGCAUUAGAACUCUCAGGAUAUCGAUUAGUGAUGAAAGGACAAGAGCUGGUAUCUGCAUCACGUUUACAUGUAGAUUAUGCUCAAGCCCGUGAUGACCAGUAUGAAUGGGAAAUGAAAAAAAGACAUUUAAUGCGUGAAGAAAGGCGUUUACAACAAACUCGAUCAAAUCCUCCUCCAUCUCCUCCAUUAAUACCCCAUUUCACUGAAGCUAAAGCUUUAUCCGUUAGUGAAGAAAUUAAGGCUGAUACAUCAUUUUUAAAUGCAGUACAAGUAGUAAUUACAUGGUUAGAACGAGGAGAUUGUAACAAACGCAAUGUUAAUAUAUUUUAUUCGAUAAUUCAAUCGACAAAUUCUCAUGUACGGCGUUUACUAUCAGAAAAAAACCAAUUUGAAGAAGAACUACAAAAUUUGAAAGACCUUACUAAACGCCGCAUGCAAGCAAUUUUAUUACAAUUCACCCAGAUCGAGAAAGUGUUUACUUCUGCGUCGCACAAGAAGGUUUGGGAUCAUUUCACAAAGGCGCAGCGAAAGAACAUUGAGACAUGGAAGAAGCAGGCAAUGGCUCUAUCCAAAUUGGGUAUUGAUGAUGAAGAUGAAAUGAUUGGUGGGGACGAAAUGGAUCUAUCUGAUGAUGAAAGUAAUUUGAAAAAGACAAAAACAAAAACCGAUCCUAUACAGUUACAGGAUGAAAAUGAUCACCUCAAAUGUGAACUGGAAGCUUAUAAAAAUGAAAUUGGAAUGAUGAAAGCUAGUUUACAAACUUCUGACCAAAAGGAUAUUCAAAUAAAUUAUUUACAACAACAGUUGUUAUCUACUCGACAGGAGUUAAAUGUUCUUACUGAAAAAUGUUCUGAUGCUCAAAAGUCUAAUUCAAGUUCAACUGAUGACAAGUUAAUACCAAGCAAUAAAACAAAAGAAACGAACAAUGGAUCAAAUAAUUUUUCUGGUCAUCAAAUAAAAUUACUUGUUUGUAGUGCUGAAAAGAAAUUACAUUUUAUGCUCAAUCAAGUUAAGAAACAUACUCGGAAGUGAUCAGUUUUUGUCAGAUAGUGGUUAUGCAACAACAGUCCAACCAUUUGAAUACACCUGCCAUAUAUAAUGAAUCUAUACGUACAGAUUGGCAUCCAAGUCAUAUUGCAAUAUAUUUAAGUAUUCAUCCUUUUGGAAUAAGUGUUGAAAGUAUUGUAAACUAUAUCAAAAAUAUUGAUAAGAACGUUACUUCUCAACAAGUAGAAAAUCUCCUAGUCACCAACCAAAUAUUAU
rnacentral:misc_RNA from 1 species